AUAGUGUAUAUUAAAAUUGUUGUGGUUAAAACGCCCGUAGUUGGAUCUUCGGUCUUGAAGCUCGGUAGCCCGUAAGGGUUUAACUGAGUCUUCUGGCCUCGAUUCUAGUUUUCUCCUGAUGCUCUUUAUUGAGUGUCUUGAGUAGCUAGGAAUUUUACUUUGAAAAAAUUAGAGUGCUAAAAGCAGGCUAUACGCUUGAAUAAAGUGCAUGGAAUAAUGGAAUACGACUUUAGUCUUAUUUUGUUGGUUUUCGAGAUUAAAGUAAUGAUUAAGAGGAACAGCCGGGGGCAUUUGUAUUGUUGCGUUAGAGGUGAAAUUCUUGGAUCGCAGCAAGACAAACAACUG
rnacentral:rRNA from 1 species